rnacentral:misc_RNA from 1 species
AACGCAUAUUGCACUCUCUGGUAAUCCGGGGAGUAUGCCUGUUUGAGGGUCAGUAAAAAUAAAAAAUCUAUCAUGAAACCUUUUUUUAAUUUAUUUUAUUAAAUCGGAACAUGGAAUUGGAUCUUUCAAAAAUUUCAUUAUUUUCGAUGAUCUUAAAUUUAUGUUAUAUGGCUAUAUAUAAACUGAACCAAAAAGAGCAAUUAUUUAUAAAUUAAUCUCAUUUAGUGAUGUUUUAUUAAGCCAAAUAUGAUUUAUUUUGAUAUUUUUUAAUAUUAAAAUAAUCAUAAACAUAUUUUAAAAUGACCUCAAAUCAGGUAAGAGUACCCGCUGAACUUAA